AAUAGAUACCCGGGUAGUCCACGCCGUAAACGAUGAGUGCUAAGUGUUAGAGGGUUUCCGCCCUUUAGUGCUGCAGCUAACGCAUUAAGCACUCCGCCUGGGGAGUACGGUCGCAAGACUGAAACUCAAAGGAAUUGACGGGGGGCCCGCACAAGCGGUGGAGCAUGUGGUUUAAUUCGAAGCAACGCGAAGAACCUUACCAGGUCUUGACAUCCUCUGACAACUCUAGAGAUAGAGCGUUCCCCUUCGGGGGACGGAGUGACAGGUGGUGCAUGGUUGUCGUCAGCUCGUGUCGUGAGAUGUUGGGUUAAGUCCCGCAACGAGCGCAACCCUUGAUCUUAGUUGCCAGCAUUUAGUUGGGCACUCUAAGGUGACUGCCGGUGACAAACCGGAGGAAGGUGGGGAUGACGUCAAAUCAUCAUGCCCCUUAUGACCUGGGCUACACACGUGCUACAAUGGAUGGUACAAAGGGCCGCAAGACCGCGAGGUCAAGCCAAUCCCAUAAAACCCAUUCUCAGUUCGGAUUGUAGG
rnacentral:rRNA from 1 species